GGGCAAUUUACUGCACGACGUGCGAUAGGGGGAUCCCAAGUGCACAGGCAUAGCGCCUGUGCUUUUCGGUACCCUAAGGCGGUACCAGAAUAAGGGCUGGGCAAGACCGGUGCCAGCCGCCGCGGUAAUACCGGCAGCCCAAGUGAUGGCCGAUCUUAUUGGGCCUAAAGCGUCCGUAGCUGGCCGCGCAAGUCCAUCGGGAAAUCCACCUGCUCAACAGGUGGGCGCCCGGUAGAAACUGCGUGGCUUGGGACCGGAAGGCGCGACGGGUACGUCCGGGGUAGGAGUGAAAUCCCGUAAUCCUGGACGGACCGCCGAUGGCGAAAGCACGUCGCGAGAACGGAUCCGACAGUGAGGGACGAAAGCCAGGGUCUCGAACCGGAUUAGAUACCCGGGUAGUCCUGGCCGUAAACAAUGUCUGCUAGGUGUGGCUCCCACUACGAGUGGGUGCUGUGCCGUAGGGAAGCCGCUAAGCAGACCGCCUGGGAAGUACGUCCGCAAGGAUGAAACUUAAAGGAAUUGGCGGGGGAGCACUACAACCGGAGGAGCCUGCGGUUUAAUUGGACUCAACGCCGGACAUCUCACCAGCAUCGACUGUAGUAAUGACGAUCAGGUUGAUGACCUUAUCCGAGCUUCAGAGAGGAGGUGCAUGGCCGCCGUCAGCUCGUACCGUGAGGCGUCCUGUUAAGUCAGGCAACGAGCGAGACCCGCACCCUUACUUGCCAGCAGUACCGCGAGGUAGCUGGGGACAGUAGGGGGACCGCCGUGGCUAACACGGAGGAAGGAACGGGCAACGGUAGGUCAGUAUGCCCCGAAUGUGCUGGGCAACACGCGGGCUACAAUGGUCGAGACAAAGGGUUCCAACUCCGAAAGGAGACGGUAAUCUCAGAAACUCGAUCGUAGUUCGGAUUGUGGGCUGCAACUCGCCCACAUGAAGCUGGAUUCGGUAGUAAUCGCGUGUCACAAGCGCGCGGGGAAUACGUCCCUGCUCCUGGCGCACCCGCCGCCCCAAAAAAAAAAAGCCCUUUUUCCCGGGGU
rnacentral:rRNA from 1 species